AGUAACGCGUGAGCAAUCUGCCUUUGGAUGGGGGAGUAACAGCCGGAAACGGCUGCUAAUACCGCAUAAUGCAACGGGAUCGCAUGGUUCUGUUGCCAAAGAUUUAUUGUCCAAAGAUGAGCUCGCGUCUGAUUAGCCAGUUGGCGGGGUAACGGCCCACCAAAGCGACGAUCAGUAGCCGGACUGAGAGGUUGAACGGCCACAUUGGGACUGAGACACGGCCCAGACUCCUACGGAAGGCAGCAG
rnacentral:rRNA from 1 species